rnacentral:rRNA from 1 species
AGAGCGAACGCUGGCGGCAGGCCUAAUACAUGCAAGUCGAACGGAUCCUUCGGGAUUAGUGGCGGACGGGUGAGUAACACGUGGGAACGUGCCCUUUGGUUCGGAACAACUCAGGGAAACUUGAGCUAAUACCGGAUGUGCCCUUCGGGGGAAAGAUUUAUCGCCAUUGGAGCGGCCCGCGUCUGAUUAGCUAGUUGGUGGGGUAAAGGCCCACCAAGGCUACGAUCAGUAGCUGGUCUGAGAGGAUGAUCAGCCACACUGGGACUGAGACACGGCCCAGACUCCUACGGGAGGCAGCAGUAGGGAAUCUUGCGCAAUGGGCGAAAGCCUGACGCAGCCAUGCCGCGUGAAUGAUGAAGGUCUUAGGAUUGUAAAAUUCUUUCAGCGGGGACGAUAAUGACGGUACCCGCAGAAGAAGCCCCGGCUAACUUCGCGCCAGCAGCCGC